AUUCCAGCUCCAAUAGCGUAUAUUAAAGUUGUUGCAGUUAGAACGCUCGUAGUCGGAUUUCGGGGCGGGCCGACCGGUCUGCCGAUGGGUACGCACUGGUCGGCGCGUCCUUCCUUCCGGAGACCGUGCCUACUCUUAACUGAGCGGGGGCGGGAGACGGAUCGUUUACUUUGAAAAAAUCAGAGUGUUUCAAGCAGGCAGCUCGCUCUUGCAUGGAUUAGCAUGGGAUAAUGAAAUAGGACUUUGGUGCUAUUUUGUUGGUUUCGAACACCGAAGUAAUGAUUAACAGGGACAGUCAGGGGCACUCGUAUUCCGCCGAGAGAGGUGAAAUUCUCAGACCAGCGGAAGACGAACUACUGCGAAAGCAUUUGCCAGGGAUGUUUUCAUUA
rnacentral:rRNA from 1 species